rnacentral:rRNA from 1 species
UUUAUCGGAGAGUUUGAUCCUGGCUCAGGACGAACGCUGGCGGCGUGCCUAAUACAUGCAAGUCGAGCGGACAGAUGGGAGCUUGCUCCCUGAUGUUAGCGGCGGACGGGUGAGUAACACGUGGGUAACCUGCCUGUAAGACUGGGAUAACUCCGGGAAACCGGGGCUAAUACCGGAUGGUUGUUUGAACCGCAUGGUUCAAACAUAAAAGGUGGCUUCGGCUACCACUUACAGAUGGACCCGCGGCGCAUUAGCUAGUUGGUGAGGUAAUGGCUCACCAAGGCAACGAUGCGUAGCCGACCUGAGAGGGUGAUCGGCCACACUGGGACUGAGACACGGCCCAGACU